rnacentral:rRNA from 1 species
AUUGAACGCUGGCGGCAGGCCUAACACAUGCAAGUCGAACGAGUGGCGGACGGGUGAGUAAUGUCUGGGAAACUGCCUGAUGGAGGGGGAUAACUACUGGAAACGGUAGCUAAUACCGCAUACUAUCGGAUGUGCCCAGAUGGGAUUAGCUAGUAGGUGGGGUAAAGGCUCACCUAGGCGACGAUCCCUAGCUGGUCUGAGAGGAUGACCAGCCACACUGGGACUGAGCCACGGUCCAGACUCCUACGUGAGGCAGCAGUGGGGAAUAUUGCGCAAUGGACGCAAGCCUGAUACAGCCAUGCCGCGUGUGUGAAGAAGGCUUUCGGAUUGUAAAACACUUUCGGGAGAGAAGCGUUAUCCAACGAGAAAGCACCGGCUAACUCCGUGCCAGCAGCCGCGGUAAUUC